GACUCUGUGGCGCAACGGUAGCGCGUCUGACUCCAGAUCAGAAGGCUGCGUGUUCAAAUCACGUCCGGGUCA
rnacentral:tRNA from 13 species